AUUGAACGCUGGCGGCAUGCUUUACACAUGCAAGUCGAACGGUAACAGGGUGCUUGCACCGCUGACGAGUGGCGAACGGGUGAGUAAUGCGUCGGAACGUGCCGAGUAGUGGGGGAUAACGCAGCGAAAGUUGUGCUAAUACCGCAUACGUACUGAGGUAGAAAGUGGGGGACCUUCGGGCCUCACGCUAUUCGAGCGGCCGACGUCUGAUUAGCUAGUAGGUGAGGUAAAGGCUCACCUAGGCGACGAUCAGUAGCGGGUCUGAGAGGAUGAUCCGCCACACUUGGACUGAGACACGGCCCAGACUCCUACGGGAGGCAGCAGUGGGGAAUUUUAGACAAUGAGCGAAAGCCUGAUCCAGCCAUGCCGCGUGUCUGAAGAAGGCCUUCGGGUUGUAAAGGACUUUUGUCAGGGAGGAAAUCCCUAGUGCUAAUAACACUGGGGGAUGACAGUACCUGAAGAAUAAGCACCGGCUAACUACGUGCCAGCCGCCGCGGUAA
rnacentral:rRNA from 1 species